rnacentral:rRNA from 1 species
ACUCAAUAGAUACCCGGGUAGUCCACGCCCUAAACGUUGCGAACUAGGUGUUGGCGAGAUUGACCUCGUCAGUGCCGCAGCUAACGCAUUAAGUUCGCCGCCUGGGAAGUACGGCCGCAAGGUUAAAACUCAAAGGAAUAGGCGGGGGCCCGCACAAGCAGCGGAGCGUGUGGUUUAAAUUCGAGGCUACGCGAAGAACCUUACCUGGACUUGACAUGCUUCGGAAAUCCCGGUGAAAGCCGGGCCCUCCCGCAAGGGACCGUUGCACAGGUGGUGCAUGGCUGUCGUCAGCUCGUGCCGUGAGGUGUUGGGUUAAGUCCCGCAACGAGCGCAACCCUGUCCUUAGUUGAAUGUUCUAGGGAGACUGCCGGGCGAAACCCGGAGGAAGGUGGGGAUGACGUCAAGUCAGCAUGCCCUUUAUGUCCAGGGCUACACACACGCUACAAUGGCCGGUACAACGGGCUCCGACACGGCGACGUGAAGGUAAUCCCUUAAAACCGGUCUCAGUUCGGAUUGCAGGCUGCAACUCGCCUGCAUGAAGUCGGAGUUGCUAGUAACC